UGAACGUACUGUUGAUUUUGUUAUGCUUUUGAGAUUGGACGGUCUGGAGGUUGAAAUGUUUUUCUUGGGGAUUUGGUGAUUGAGGAUUUAGCAAGCAUGGCAGAAGUACAUUGAUAUUGUUAGUGAGCUAUAUCGAUCCUACUUGGACUGAUGGUUUGAUUGUACGUGAGCAAAGGUGGAGAUGGUAGCUUGAUUGGUAAUGAUUCAAAAAGAUCAAUGGGACCGGUUUUCAGCACUUUUGUUUAUGAGGAGGGAUCUGAAAAUGAUUUAUAUUUGACAAACUAUGUCAGAGUUUUAAUGGAAAUGUAUUGCAAACUCUAUUUAACUCAGCAGACGGACUUGGUAGUUGUCCAACAGAAAACAUGAGAUUCUGGAUUUGGAGAUUUACUUGCGACCAAGCUUUAGCCGUGACUACCUCAAAUAUCCUUACUUUAGAAAUUUAUGAUUUUUGGUCUAUUAUUUUCCCUUCAAUGUCAUUGGAUCCUUGA